UCGGAAUUCAAUCUACGACCUUCCACCAAGUGUAGGAAAGCUCGGAAUCUAAAUCAAACACUCGAACCUCGCAACUUGCACAGGUCCGGUGUGUUACAAAACAGAUUUCAAAAGAAUUUUCUCGUGGUUUUCUCGACUUAGUAUUUCAAAAUAAGUUUCCGGGUAGAAAACGUUUUAACUGAUAGUUGUGGAUUUAUAUUCAGAUCUCUGUUUAUGAACCUGCGGUGAAUGAUGUAUGGAUAUUAAAUGUAUGAUGACUUGUAUAUUCAUUUAGUUGUGGUUGUAUCCUGUUUUACAUCUUAUCAUUGUGCAACGCCGUGCAAAUACAGGGGAGACUCUGUCCGUAUGAACAGUGGAAUCCCUGUAUUUGUGGCGGAUCUGGCAUACCCUGUAUUUCAAAAUAAGUUUCCGGGUAGAAAACGUUUUAACUGAUAGUUGUGGAUUUAUAUUCAGAUCUCUGUUUAUGAACCUGCGGUGAAUGAUGUAUGGAUAUUAAAUGUAUGAUGACUUGUAUAUUCAUUUAGUUGUGGUUGUAUCCUGUUUUACAUCUUAUCAUUGUGCAACGCCGUGCAAAUACAGGGGAGACUCUGUCCGUAUGAACAGUGGAAUCCCUGUAUUUGUGGCGGAUCUGGCAUACCCUGUAUUUCAAAAUAAGUUUCCGGGUAGAAAACGUUUUAACUGAUAGUUGUGGAUUUAUAUUCAGAUCUCUGUUUAUGAAC
rnacentral:lncRNA from 1 species